rnacentral:rRNA from 1 species
GACGAACGCUGGCGGCGUGCUUAACACAUGCAAGUCGAACGGAAAGGCCCGGCUUUUGUGGGGUGCUCGAGUGGCGAACGGGUGAGUAACACGUGAGUAACCUGCCCUUGACUUUGGGAGAACUUCAGGAAACUGGGGCUAAUACCGGAUAGGAGCUCCUGCUGCAUGGUGGGGGUUGGAAAGUUUCGGCGGUUGGGGAGGGACUCGCGGCUUAUCAGCUUGUUGGUGGGGUAGUGGCUUACCAAGGCGUUGACGGGUAGCCGGCCUGGGAGGGUGACCGGCCACAUUGGGAGUGAGAUACGGCCCAGACUCCUACGGGAGGCAGCAGUGGGGAAUAUUGCACAAUGGGCGGAAGCCUGAUGCAGCAACGCCGCGUGCGGGAUGACGGCCUUCGGGUAAACCGCUUUCGCCUGUGACGAAGCGUGAGUGACGGUAAUGGGUAAAGAAGCACCGGCUAACUACGUG